GACGAACGCUGGCGGCGUGCUUAACACAUGCAAGUCGAACGGAAAGGCCCUGCUUUUGUGGGGUGCUCGAGUGGCGAACGGGUGAGUAACACGUGAGUAACCUGCCCUUGACUUUGGGAUAACGUCAGGAAACUGGGGCUAAUACCGGAUAGGAGCUCCUGCUGCAGGGUGGGGGUUGGAAAGUUUCGGCGGUUGGGGAUGGACUCGCGGCUUAUCAGCUUGUUGGUGGGGUAGUGGCUUACCAAGGCUUUGACGGGUAGCCGGCCUGAGAGGGUGACCGGCCACAUUGGGACUGAGAGACGGCCCAGACUCCUACGGGAGGCAGCAGUGGGGAAUAUUGCACAAUGGGCGGAAGCCUGAUGCAGCAACGCCGCGUGCGGGAUGACGGCCUUCGGGUUGUAAACCGCUUUCGCCUGUGACGAAGCGUGAGUGACGGUAAUGGGUAAAGAAGCACCGGCUAACUACGUG
rnacentral:rRNA from 1 species